rnacentral:tRNA from 1 species
CAGGAUAUAACUUAUUAGUAAAGUAUUCCACUUACACUGGAAAUUGUUCUGUGCAAUUCAGAAUAUCUUGA